rnacentral:misc_RNA from 1 species
GAUGAAGAACGCAGCGAAAUGCGAUACUUGGUGUGAAUUGCAGAAUCCCGUGAACCAUCGAGUCUUUGAACGCAAGUUGCGCCUCAAGCCAUUAGGUUGAGGGCACGUCUGCCUGGGCGUCACAUAUCGUUGCCUGAUGCCAGUUUCCUCGUGAUGGGUGACUGUGCAGGGCGAAUGAUGGCUUCCCGUGAGCAUUGUUGCCUCAUGGUUGGUUGAAAAUUGAGUCCUUGGUAGGGAGCGCCGUGAUAGAUGGUGGUUGAGUGACGAACGAGACCCAAUCAUGUGAGACCCUACCGAAUUUGGCCUUCAUGACCCACAUGCGUCUUUGGAACGCUCAUGACGAGACCUCAGGUCAGGCGGGGCUACCCGCUGAGUUUAAGCAUAUCAAUAAGCGGAGGA